GAAACCUAACUGGACCGAAGACAAAACGUUAAGCUUAGUUCGUUUGGUGGACGAAAGGAAAGACAUAAUAAGAGGUAAAUUUGUAGCAGGCGUGACAAGCAAGAAGAAGAAGGAAACAUGGUUGGCAGUCACCGAAGAAAUAAACGCCGCAUUCCCUUCCGUGCUACGAACAUCGGAAGACUGUGAGAAACGGUGGUAUAAAGUCCAGUGUAGAUCACGAAAAGAAAUUUCUACGCAAAAGACACACAUGCAAGGCACAGGAGGCGGUCCCGUGAUGAACCUGAGUGGUAUUGCUGAAGCGGUUUACGAUGUUUUGGGGCAUUCCAAUGUUUCCAUAAGUGGGGUUGACGGUGGCCUUGAUUCGUCAUUGAUUUAGGCACAAGUGUGGUGCCUCAGAGUUCAACCGUCACACCCUCCACCUCUUCCACCAUGAACCACCCACCAGCAACCGUCAUCUUGGAAUCAGUUCCCUGUGGGAUAGACGAUGAUGCAGACGAUAGGAUAACGAAAAGAAGAU